GAUGAACGCUGGCGGCGUGCUUAACACAUGCAAGUCGAACGAAGCGCUUAAACGGAUUUCUUCGGAUUGAAGUUUUUGCGACUGAGUGGCGACGGGUGAAGGUAACGCGUGGGUAACCUGCCUCAUACAGGGGGAUAACAGUUAGAAAUGACUGCUAAUACCGCAUAAGCGCACAGUGCUGCAUGGCACAGUGCGAAAAACUCCGGUGGUAUGAGAUGGACCCGCGUCUGAUUAGCUAGUUGGUGGGGUAACGGCCUACCAAGGCGACGAUCUUUAGCUGGUCUGAGAGGAUGAUCAGCCACACUGGGACUGAGACACGGCCCAG
rnacentral:rRNA from 1 species